GUGGGGAAUAUUGGACAAUGGGCGCAAGCCUGAUCCAGCCAUGCCGCGUGUGUGAAGAAGGCCUUCGGGUUGUAAAGCACUUUUGUCCGGGAAGAAAUCUUCCAGGUUAAUACCCUGGGAGGCUGACGGUACCGGAAGAAUAAGCACCGGCUAACUUCGUGCCAGCAGCCGCGGUAAUACGAAGGGUGCAAGCGUUACUCGGAAUUACUGGGCGUAAAGCGUGCGUAGGUGGUUCGUUAAGUCUGCCGUGAAAGCCCCGGGCUCAACCUGGGAAUGGCGGUGGAUACUGGCGGGCUAGAGUGCGGUAGAGGGUGGUGGAAUUCCCGGUGUAGCAGUGAAAUGCGUAGAGAUCGGGAGGAACAUCUGUGGCGAAGGCGGCCACCUGGACCAGCACUGACACUGAGGCACGAAAGCGUGGGGAGCAAACAGGAUUAGAAACCCGGGUAGUCC
rnacentral:rRNA from 1 species